AAAUCCCACGGCUCAACCGUGGGGCUUGCUGGGGAUACUGCGGGCCUUGGGACCGGGAGAGGCGGGGGGUACCCUGGGGUAGGGGUGAAAUCCUAUAAUCCCAGGGGGACCGCCAGUGGCGAAGGCGCCCCGCUGGAACGGGUCCGACGGUGAGGGACGAAGGCCAGGGGAGCGAACCGGAUUAGAUACCCGGGUAGUCCUGGCUGUAAAGGAUGCGGGCUAGGUGUCGGGCGAGCUUCGAGCUCGCCCGGUGCCGGAGGGAAGCCGUUAAGCCCGCCGCCUGGGGAGUACGGCCGCAAGGCUGAAACUUAAAGGAAUUGGCGGGGGAGCACUACAAGGGGUGGAGCGUGCGGUUUAAUUGGAUUCAACGCCGGGAACCUCACCGGGGGCGACGGCAGGAUGAAGGCCAGGCUGAAGGUCUUGCCGGACGCGCCGAGAGGAGGUGCAUGGCCGCCGUCAGCUCGUACCGUGAGGCGUCCACUUAAGUGUGGUAACGAGCGAGACCCGCGCCCCCAGUUGCCAGUCCUCCCCGCUGGGGAGGAGGCACUCUGGGGGGACCGCCGGCGAUAAGCCGGAGGAAGGAGCGGGCGACGGUAGGUCAGUAUGCCCCGAAACCCCCGGGCUACACGCGCGCUACAAUGGGCGGGACAAUGGGAUCCGACCCCGAAAGGGGAAGGGAAUCCCCUAAACCCGCCCUCAGUUCGGAUCGCGGGCUGCAACUCGCCCGCGUGAAGCUGGAAUCCCUAGUACCCGCGUGUCAUCAUCGCGCGGCGAAUACGUCCCUGCUCCUUGCACACACCGCCCGUCACUCCACCCGAGCGGGGUCCGGGUGAGGCUCGGUCUCCCUUCGGGGAGGCCGGGUCGAGCCCGGGCUCCGUGAGGGGGGAGAAGUCGUAACAAGGUAGCCGUAGGGGAACCUACGGCUCGAUCACCUCCU
rnacentral:rRNA from 1 species